rnacentral:rRNA from 1 species
AUUGAACGCUGGCGGCAUGCCUUACACAUGCAAGUCGAACGGCAGCACGGGGGCAACCCUGGUGGCGAGUGGCGAACGGGUGAGUAACACAUCGGAACGUGCCCAGUAGUGGGGGAUAGCUCGGCGGAAGCCGGAUUAAUACCGCAUACGACCUACGGGUGAAAGCGGGGGAUCGCAAGACCUCGCGCUAUUGGAGCGGCCGAUGUCAGAUUAGGUUGUUGGUGGGGUAAAGGCCUACCAAGCCGACGAUCUGUAGCUGGUCUGAGAGGACGACCAGCCACACUGGGACUGAGACACGG